rnacentral:rRNA from 1 species
CACGGGGGGGAGCAAGCGUUGUUCGGAUUCAUUGGGCGUAAAGGGCUCGUAGGCCGCUCUGUAAGUCGGAAGUGAAAGACCACGGCUCAACCGUGGAACCGCUUUCGAAACUGUGGAGCUUGAGGCCGGGAGAGGAGAUUGGAAUUCCUGGUGUAGCGGUGAAAUGCGUAGAUAUCAGGAGGAACACCGGUGGCGAAGGCGGCAUCCUGGACCGGUAUUGACGCUGAGGCGCGAAAGCCAGGGGAGCAAACGGG